GUGGGGAAUAUUCCGCAAUGGACGAAAGUCUGACGGAGCAACGCCGCGUGAGUGAUGAAGGUUUUCGGACUGUAAAGCUCUGUUGUUUAGGACGAAAGUGCCUGUUGCGAAUAGUUACAGGUAUUGACGGUACUGAACGAGGAAGCCACGGCUAACUACGUGCCAGCAGCCUCGGUAAUACGUAGGUGGCAAGCUUUGUCCGGAAUUAUUGGGCGGAAAGAGCAUGUAGGCUGGUAUCUAAGUCUGUUGUGAAAAUGCGGGGCUCAAGCCGGUAGGGCGAUGGAAACUGGAUUUCUUGAGUGCAGGAGAGGAAAGGGGAAUUCCCAGUGUAGCGGUGAAAUGCGUAGAUAUUGGGAGGAACACCAGGGGCGAAGGCGCCUUUCUGGACUGUGUCUGACGCUGAGAUGCGAAAGCCAGGGUAGCGAACGGGAUUAGAUACCCCUGUAGUCC
rnacentral:rRNA from 1 species